CCCUUAGAUGUUCGGGGCCGCCCGCGCGCUACACUGAAGGAAUCAGCACGUCUUUCUCCUUGUCCGAAAGGACUGGGUAACCCGCUGAACCUCCUUCGUGCUAGGGAUUGGGGCUUGUAAUUCUUCCCCAUGAACGAGGAAUUCCCAGUAAGCGCGAGUCAUAAGCUCGCGUUGAUUACGUCCCUGCCCUUUGUACACACCGCCCGUCGCUACUACCGAUUGGAUGGUUUAGUGAGAUCCUCGGAUUGGUCCCGGCGCGGCCUCUGGUCGUGCCGGAGUGCCGAAAAGAAUGUCGAACUUGAUCAUCUAGAGGAAGUAAAAGUCGUAACA
rnacentral:rRNA from 1 species